rnacentral:rRNA from 1 species
CUACGUGCCAGCAGCCGCGGUAAUACGGAGGAUGCGAGCGUUAUCCGGAUUUAUUGGGUUUAAAGGGUGCGUAGGCGGCCUGUUAAGUCAGCGGUGAAAUCUAGGAGCUUAACUCCUAAAUUGCCAUUGAUACUGGCGGGCUUGAGUGUAAAUGAGGUAGGCGGAAUGCGUGGUGUAGCGGUGGAAUGCAUAGAUAUCACGCAGAACUCCGAUUGCGAAGGCAGCUUACUAAGGUACAACUGACGCUGAAGCACGAAAGCGUGGGUAUCAAACAGGAUUAGAUACCCUGGUAGUCCACGCAGUAAACGAUGAUAACUGGGCGUAUGCGAUAUACAGUAUGCUCCUAAGCGAAAGCGUUAAGUUAUCCACCUGGGGAGUACGCCGGCAACGGUGAAACUCAAAGGAAUUGACGGGGGCCCGCACAAGCGGAGGAACAUGUGGUUUAAUUCGAUGAUACGCGAGGAACCUUACCCGGGAU